GGGCGCGUAAUCUAUCGGUAGGAUACAACCUUCACACGGUUGAGAGCUAGGUUCAACUCCUGGCGCGCCCA
rnacentral:tRNA from 1 species